rnacentral:rRNA from 1 species
AUGCGCGACAUCUCCCUGGAGCAUGCCCGCCUCCAUAGCCGCGCCCUCAAGGUGGUCGACGUCGGUGGUGGCACUGGCUUCACCACGCUCGGCGUCGUCCGGUAUGUCGACCCCGAGAACGUGACGCUGCUCGACCAGUCGCCGCACCAACUCGACAAGGCCAGAAAGAAGAAGGCCCUCAGGGGCAUCAAGAUCAUGGAGGGUGACGCCGAGGACCUCCCCUUCCCCACCGACACCUUCGACCGAUACGUCUCCGCUGGCAGCAUUGAGUAUUGGCCUGAUCCGCAGCGGGGGAUCAGGGAGGCCUACAGGGUCUUGAGUGCGGACGGCGUGGCUUGUAUGAUAGGCCCCGUUCGCCCGACGUUCUGGCUAUCUCGCUUCUUCGCUGACAUGUGGAUGCUCUUCCCCACGGAGGAAGAGUCAAGACACAAAGCGGAGACUCCCCCUUGCAGGUCGAAGGCCCAUGUAGCAGUGGUUCGGCCACAGUGUGCGGGGACCACAUACCAAAUUCUGGAUGAAUUGUUCUUUUUUUGUUUUCAAGCGGACGGACGCACAAAAUUUAGUACGACCUUGGAGAGAGAAAAAUGUGUGACGUAUGAAAAAAAUAUGUGA